rnacentral:rRNA from 1 species
CCUACGGGAGGCAGCAGUGAGGAAUAUUGGUCAAUGGGCGAGAGCCUGAACCAGCCAAGUCGCGUGAGGGAGUACUGCCCUAUGGGUUGUAAACCUCUUUUGUCGGGGAGCAAAAGCCGGACGUGUCCGGCUGUGAGAGUACCCGAAGAAAAAGCAUCGGCUAACUCCGUGCCAGCAGCCGCGGUAAUACGGAGGAUGCGAGCGUUAUCCGGAUUUAUUGGGUUUAAAGGGUGCGCAGGCGGAUUUUUAAGUCAGCGGUAAAAUCGUGGGGCUCAACCCCAUCAAGCCGUUGAAACUGGGGAUCUAGAGUGUGCGAGAGGUAUGCGGAAUGCGUGGUGUAGCGGUGAAAUGCAUAGAUAUCACGCAGAACCCCGAUUGCGAAGGCAGCAUACCGGUGCACAACUGACGCUCAGGCACGAAAGCGUGGGUAUCGAACAGGAUUAGAUACCCCGGUAGUC